rnacentral:misc_RNA from 1 species
AAAAAACUAUCAGUAUCUUAAUUCAAAAUUUCAUCCAUUUAACAAGUUUAACUAGUAUCAGCAUAAUUAGAAGUAUUGAUUCUAAAUAAUGGUUAGAUCACAUCAGUUUAACUCAGAAAAACUACAUUUCUGCAACAGUAGAUUAUCAUACGGAUUGCAACUGAUAUGCAAAUUCUUAUAUACUAAUGAACUCCAUAAUGUUCAGGAAGACAUAAAACUUUUCAAUCUAAAGAAAUUUCAUACAACAUUCAAAAUAGACUUCUGCAUUAUAUCAAUUGAGCUACAGUCAAACUAGCAAGGUAAUACGCGUAGUUAGACUGUCAAAUUUCUAACAAGAAAAUAAUAUAUAUCAAACAAGUUCUUACUAUGCAUUGAUUCCCUGCCUGCCCAUUAUCGAUGAAGGAGCCAAUUGUUGAAACCGAUAAUUAGGUUAAACAAAAAGUAUUAAAUCGAUGCAUAUUGCAUCCUUUAGUAAGGGAAAUCUAAUAACGCUAAUAUGCCGUUCAAUAAUCGAAGAGGUGUUUAAUAAAAACUUACUCGUCCUGUAAUUGAAAUUAGAAAUAUGCAAAAGUAAUUAAUUUAGAGAUCCAAGCAGCGAUCUAACACAAUCACGCAACUCUAAUUUUAAGAAACAACAAAUGAAUCGAAGAGCUAUAAACCUUAACAAAAGUUUGAGAGGCCAAGGAGAGUAGAUUGAGAGGCUUACGGUGGCGCACAGAGCAGCUGAGAUCGAGGAGACUAGCAAAGG